rnacentral:rRNA from 1 species
AGAUUGAACGCUGGCGGCAUGCCUUACACAUGCAAGUCGAACGGCAGCACGGGAGCAAUCCUGGUGGCGAGUGGCGAACGGGUGAGUAAUACAUCGGAACGUGCCCAAUCGUGGGGGAUAACGCAGCGAAAGCUGUGCUAAUACCGCAUAAGAUCUACGGAUGAAAGCGAGGGGAUCGCAAGACCUUGCGCGAAUGGAGCGGCCGAUGGCAGAUUAGGUAGUUGGUGAGGUAAAGGCUCACCAAGCCUUCGAUCUGUAGCUGGUCUGAGAGGACGACCAGCCACACGUGGGACUGAGACGACCGGCCCAGACUCCGUACGGGA